GGGGUUGUGGCUCAGUGGUAGAGCGCUUGCCUAGCAUGUGGGAAGCCCUGGGUUUGAUCCUCAGCACCA
rnacentral:tRNA from 1 species